ensembl:lncRNA
AGGAGCCUUCUCUCAUCAUUUUAGAAGGCACGACGCUUGUUGAUUCAGUUGGAGCACAGCAAAGUUAACUUGAAGAUGUUUAUUUCAGGGUGUUUUAGUCUGUUGAGGCUGUUAUGACAAAAUACCACGGAUGGGGAGGCUAAUAAACAACAGAAAUUUCUCUCUUGGGGGUCUGGAGUCUGGACAAGGUGCCAGCCUGGUGGGGUUCUGCCAAAGGCCUUUUCCCGAUUGCAGACUGCCAACUUCUCACUGUGUCCUCAUGAGGUGGGAGGGCCUAGGGGGCUCUCUGGAGCCUCAUGUAUCAGGGCACUAAUCUCUUUCGUGAGGGCCCCACCCUCAUGACCUACACACCUCCUGAAGGCCCCACCUCCUCAUGUCAUCACGUUGGGGGUUAGGAUGUCAGCAUAUGAAUUGAGGGGGGAGACACAUUUAGACUGGAGCACAGGGUGUCCUCACGUUCUUUCAAGUCUUCCUCAGUUCCCUUAACUAGAGUCUCUCCUCUGACCCUCCCCAGGCCCCCAUUCCCUCAGCAACACACGGUUUCACAUGCUGCUGUUUCUUGUCAGGAUGGUGAAGGUGGGCUAUGCUUUGCAGUCUUUGUGUAGGCAACAUGGAAGAUCCUGCUACAUCCUCUCUAUGAAGGUUCCUUUCUAGAAAUUCCAAUGCUAGAAUUUUCUAGAAGGUUCCAGUUCAAACUUGUUUAUAGUAAACAGAGCACUUUUCAUGUUUUGUUUACCUCUUUUUUAAAAAAAUUAUUUUUAUUUUUUCCAUUACAGUUGGUUUACAGUGUUCUGUCAACUUUCUACUGUACAGCAAAGUGACCCAUCACACAUACAUAUAUAUUCUUUUUUUCACAUUAUCCUACAUCCAUGCUCCAUUGUAAGUGACUAGAUGCAGUUCCCAGUGCUAUACAUGAUUUUAAAAAGCCAGACUAUGGGGGAGCUUGCUCACUUCCCCUGUUCCCACCCAGCCCUCUGGGGGGUGGUGUCUUGGGUCUUGCCCUCUGUGGCUCACACCCCACCAACGGCUGUGAGGGGGCCCUGUUCUUACCAGAUCUUCAUGGCAGUCCAGGACGUGGGCUCUGUGAGACCUGCCCAGACGGUCCGACUCCUUGAGUCCUGGUCACUGGAUUCUGGAGGGGCUUCGUUAUCUCUGGCAGGUGGACGGGUGGCCUGGCCAUUGUCUGACAGCCCGUGCAGGAUCAGGCAGAGUGCAAGCUUUGCUCUGGGCACCACUCUCUGGGGGGGCAGGAAGACAGAGGGCAGUGGAUUCCUGGUGUGCCUGGGGCUAGCCCUUGGGGAUGGAGGGGGCUGUCUGUAAGGACAGAGGGGGCUGUCUGUGGGGGUCAGGGAGCUUUGGGGAGGUGGUGCCAUCAUAAGUUGGUAGGAUGUGACCCUCCCAGUCUUGAAGAGGAGGAGGGGCAGCCGGGGCAACAGGCUGGCCUUGUCUCCUGUACCUGGCAGGAGAGGCAUGACCAGAAAUUGAGGGGAUGGGCUGGGCCACUUGGCUGGUGGGCAGUGCUGGGACAUAGCCUGGAUUGUCCGGACCCCAGAGUAGGCAGAGGGAGCCGGAGAGCCUGUGCAGCCCGGCUACAGUGGGCAGCGGCUGCCUGGAGCUGUGGGAGCCUCUCCAUGCCUCUGGGGCUUUGCUCAGGUGCUUCCUCUCCUGAACACCCAUCCUCCCUUCUUGAUCUGGUUGACACUUUUUGCCCUUCAAAAUUAAGCUCUGGUGGGUGCCAAUUAUGUGGGGUGGCCACUCCACCCUGGGUUAGUUUAGUCCUUUCCUUAGGAGGCCUGCUGUGCAGAAGUCAGCCAGUCUGCAGGCUCUGGGGACAGGGCUGUCAUGUCCUGUAUCUCAGGGCGUAGUGUCACCCGGGGCCUGGCAUAGGGGCAGACCCAGCACGAGCUUGUGCAAGCGGAGCAGGUGGGCAGUGCAGUGUACAUGCUUGCUCCUGAGAGCCUGCUCUCACACGUUAGGAUGUGGAUGGCAGCUUUGGGAAUCCUUGCCGUCUACAGAGGCCUCUGUAUUGAAGUGAAGGCUUCCUUGCACCUUGUAACAUAGACUCUCCAGACAGCAAGUCGUCCAGCCUGAAACCAGCCUGAAACUAGAUUGGAGACUUCCUCCUGGGUUCCAGAACCAUCUCCUGGAUAUAGCUUGCAGAUCCUGAUGCUGAUCUGGGGGAGUGGGGAGGGGCUUGGCUUGUGUUCCUGUCGUAGGGGUUUCAUUCUCCCCCGCCCUUUAGGGGUAGGGAGGAUGGGGCUGCUUUGGCCCCUUGAUCUGCCUGGAGCCCCUGCUGGUGAGCAGCUUGGGGCUGCGGGUCAGCCUCUUGGGGGCGCAGCCCAGCCCUGCCCAUCGGCACCUUCUCGGCUGCAGUGUGGUGGGCAGAGUGAUCUGGGGUUCCAGGGCUCUCCCUGGCCCUGGCUUUCAUUGCAAAGCCUUUCAAGUUCUCUCAUCUGUAAGAUGGGCAGGGGGUUCUAGCCCUGAGUCGUAGUCCAUAGCUCUUCUACCAGCAUGUUGACACUGGACAUGGGAAGUGGUAAAACAAACGUCCUUUCCAGACUUUUCCUGAGUCAGAGGGUAGGAGGCCAGGGGUGGGGGGUCGGGGGGCUUGAAGCCGCUGUUUGUGUCUUUCUGGGAGGGUCCUCCCAGACCCUCCUUGCCGACUCUGCCCUCCCCCUGGGAGAUACUGGUUCAUUUCGCGGCCCCGGCCCCCAGCCAGGCUGCACCUCAGGGAGGCAGUGGGGCGUGUGGAGGCAGCCCGGCUCUCAGCUGUUCCCAGCGUCUCCAUGAUGCUGGGUUCUAUGUCUGUUCUCUUAUUGAAACUUGGCCAUUCCUCCUUUGAGGAGGGAGGGAUUCUUCCCUAGGAAGAGGUCUCCCAGGUGAAGAUUCUGGUUCCAGAGGUGGUUCAGAGCUUGCUUAGGGCCAUGCAGCCCUGAGGUGGCGGAACGUGGAUGAGAGCUGGUCUUUCUGACUCGUAGGCACCCUGUCCUGAUGUCUGUGCUGUCUGUUGUUUUGGUGGGUCCUUCCAGGCCCUGCAAACAGGGAAUCAGGAGGGCUGGGGUCCCCCAGGAGGGUGCCCGCUGCUCGCUAGGGCCUCACACACACAGCCUCUUCCCCUUGUCAGCUGGUGGCAGGACCACACAUUGUGUGAGAAGGGCAGGGGAACCUCAGUGGGCCUAGGGCGGAGCUCAUUCCUCCUUCAGGUUCUGCCCUAGAACCAGCCGGGAGCCACCGUUUAGGAUGUGGGAUCUUAGAGGACUGUCACGUUUGGAGCCCUGCCUCCCUCAAGUGGCAGUGGGUCACAAGAGGUCAGAACGAGGAAACUGGAAAGGCCAUGGGGUUCUGUCCCCUGUUACCCAUGAGGAAGCUGGCCCAGAGAGGGAAAGUGACUCGGGCAAGGCCACACAGCUAGUCAGCGGACAGGGGUUUAGGCAGGUCCCCACUGCCCACACUGCCUGCCUGCCGUCCAUGUCAUUUGCUCUCAGGCCAGCUCUGGCAGUGCUGGUCUCUGUGUGCUUCAUUGUCUUCUGCCUUUGUUCUUAGCCUGACACAUUUUUCAGAUCUCACCCACCUGUGACUGCCCUGCAGUCGCCUGUGUUUUGUGUGCAUUGAAUGGUCUUGCUUCCCGCCCCGCUGAGCAGCGGUUCCAGAAUCCAGCUGAUUGGGCCUCCUCAGGUGCAGGCCCCAGAGCUGCCCGAAAGGCCCUCACUGCCCCUUUGCCAGGCAUUGCUCAGCCCGAAUGGGGGCUCAUCAGGCCUUAGUGUGUGUGUGUGUGUGUGUGUGUGUGUGUGUGGUGGGGGUAUAAGGAAUCCCACUGCUGUCUCCUGCUUGGGUCUGCACCCCUUCAGACCCAGUCCUGCUGUGUCUGUUACAAGGCUGUUUGGGUGCCUGCUCCCCAUCAUGGGAGCUGAUACACAUGACUCACAGUAGGUGCUCUGGGAAACUUUUCCUGCUGUACCGUCCAGCUCACCCCACCUGGAGAAUCUACUCUGUCUGGAGACCCUUUGCCUGACCUAUGCCUCCGUCCUCCUCUGCUCUGUCUGCAGUGGGAGUGAAGCUGCCCAAUGGGAGGCCUUGGGGGCAAGGUCCGAUUGGGCUCCCUGUGCAGCCUAGUGCAGCAGUGGGCCUGCACCUCUCCAGUGAGCAUGGUGUUGGCUACAGGUGGGCCUGUGCAGACUCCCAGUCCACCUCGUCCCUCUAAGAGGCACAGUAUCAUCACCCAUCUCAAAAUGUGGGGAUGAAGUGACGUAAUGUGUCUAAAGGAGCUGUGUGUGCACAGCACUGCUGAGGACUUGAGGCUGGGCUGCCCCAUCCUCUGUGAAGGCUGUCCUGGCCUGCCUCCUGCCCCCAGAAUGGCACCUCAUGGCUCAUCCUGUGUCCCAGGUCACAUCCUGGUGCCGGUGACUGGGCCCCAGCCGGGGAUGUGUGAGCCAGCUGCGUGGGUGCUCAGGUGUGUCUUAUAAAAGAGCAAAUUUGGCACAGAGGUGGCCUGGCUGCCCACCUUCUUCCAUUCAGUGUACAUACUGAGUAGGAGUGAGAGGAUGACUGAGCCCUGGGGGUUGUCUGAGCAGCCUUGCAUCCCAGGGUCCCCAGCUCUCUCAUAGGAGAGAAGGAGAAGGAAUGGGCUUUCUGCUCAGGAACAGAGCUCCCAGGGUGGGGGUGGGAGGAGACCUUGAUGUGGGAAUACCCUGGAGGGAGGGGCACCUGUACCCCGUGCUUGGCAAGAUGCUUGUGAUUUCGGCUGCUGCUGAUCUGUUAAGGUGAGUUUAAUCUGCAGUCCGUGUANNNNNNNNNNNNNNNNNNNNNNNNNNNNNNNNNNNNNNNNNNNNNNGCACUGCUGGGAGUCAUGGCCAAAGUCUCAGGUCCCUGAUCGUCCUCCCAGUCUGUGGCUCAGUCAGCCAGGCGUGGGCAGUGGACAGGGUAUGGGCUGCCCAGCUCCAGGCUUCCCAGUCUUGGGAGCACUGGUCACCUCGGCUGGCUAGUGGCUCCUUUUGUCAGUGACAACUGGACUGUUACACAGUGGGGUGAGCAGUGCUCCAAGAGGAAGUGAGACGGUGGGGAGGUCCGUUGUGUUUACUUGCUCUGCUUCCGACUCCCCAAGCAGCUUUGCUUUGAUCGGAAACGUGAGCAACCGAAGUUCGUCACCGAAACGGCUCUCAGAGAGUUGCAGGACUUUGAGAGCAAAUGCAGAACGAAGACAUUUCUCUUUCCUUAAAGGGAGAGCUCUGUCUCAAGCCCCGGGCUCUGGAAGAGGAAAUAUGACCUUGCUGUUCAACCUCCUGGUUUCUGGAGCUGUUGACUUCGGCCCUGCCCUGUGACAUGUGCAGCAUCUGGAGUUGAUUUAUGGAAAUCUGUGGGGAUCUGUGAGAGCCUGGAAAGAAUGAAAGGGAGUUCUUGCUGCCCUGUGAGAGUAUUCAGCUCUGAUCCCUGGGCCUUGGGGGGGUAUGAGGGGGAAGGGCCCCGAGAAAGGUGGGCAGGUGGGAGCAGUGACAGCCCCCACUUUGUGACCCACUUCAACCAGGAGUAUAAAAUUAUAGAUCAGAUGGAACAUUCUUAUUUCUCCAGGUUCCCUUUGGUCCUUGUCCCCUGGCCGGGUACCUCUGGGGUGGCAGGGACAGGGUUUCUCAUGGUGGCGCAUCUCAGAAACACCCACCCAUCUUUCUGUCUCAUCUUGUCCUUACUGUUAAUGUGGCUGCAGCGUAAAUUACUGUCCUAUUUCUUUUGUAAGCCAUUCUGCAGUCUUCUAAUGAAUAACGCCACAGAGAACAUCUGUGUUUUCCUUCUUUUCAAUUUUUCCUGGGAACCCUUCCUUGACUCUUCACAAGGAACACUUUCCAUUCCUAAAGGGUCCUCCAUCUAAAAAUUAAUAUCAGAAAAUCAGGACUCAGGAGUUCCCAUUGUGGCUCAGUGGUUAAUGAACCCGACUAGCAUCCAUGAGGACGUGGGUUCGAUCCCUGGCCUUGCUCAGUGGGUUAAGGAUCCAGGGUUGCUGUGAGCUGUGGUGUAGGUCACAAACGAGGCUUGGCUCCCUGCGUUGCUGUGGCUGUGGUAUAGGCCAGCAGCUGUAGCUCUGAUUCAACCCCUAGCCUGGAAACUUCCACAUGCCCAAGUAUAGCCCUAAAAAAG